AUUAUUAGCAAGGGGCAUUGAUUGCAGUCUGCCAGUGACUUAUUUAUCCCCCGUGCUGCUUCUUGCUCUCCGGUUUCCAGGGAGUGCUGGGCUUUCCAGGUUGCCUGUCCAGCGUCUCUGUGUCUCCCUGGCCUGGCCACACAGUAGAAUUCAUCCCAAGUUUCCAGGAGGAGUUACAAUGAAGAGACAGUUCAAGUGACAGUUGCUGUUUAACCGCCUCAUCCGUGGGGUUCCAAGAAAACUGUGACAUCAGUGAAGUUUGUAUUCCCUACCGCAACUUCCGUUUCUGUACCCACCCACUCCCUCUCUUUCUGGCUGCUCCUAGUAUCUGCUUUCAGCCAUUUUAUCUUUAGUUUCCAUCUGCACACUACCUAAUUCACUUCAACAAGACCUGAAGCAGACAGGCCCCACUAACAGGAACAGGACAGGCCUUAGGGGCCUUCAGACCUUGGCACUGGAGGUUCAACUGGGAAGACAGAGUAUUUUAGGUGGAAACCGAGGGUUUAGACAGCUGAAGUAACUUGCACAAAAUCACAUGGCAAUAGUAGAGAUGCGAUUCAAACCCUAGGGAAUACGAUUCCAGAACCUCACUGUUAACCAGGAAGCUGGUGUUUCUCAAACUCGCCUGAUUUCAUCUGGAGAGGGGAAAGAUAUUGAAAACGACAAGGCUUACCGUAUCAACAGAAGAGACCUGACAACUUGGCUCAGGGUUCGCGAUACAGGCCUCACCGUGUUCUGACUCUGAGAGGGACAGGAUUUCUUCCUGGUCAAGCCGAAACUUUUCCUGCCAAAGUGUCUCCUACUGAAGUCUGUGGCUACUUGGGAUUCUCAGGGCAUGGGUUGUUCUGGGUGACUGCAAUUUCCAAAUAGCUAAAGGCGUAUUCCUUAAACUACACUUACCUUUUAUUAUUACUAUUUUGGAUGGAAGUCAUCACCCCUAUUUCAGCUUUCAUAAAAUGGUUAUAAUGAACAUAAUUUAACUCAUCCUUGGUGACUCUGGGCUUUUCUUAGGAGCAUCGGUAAUGUUGCUAUGCAGUGGCACGUUGAUGUUCACAGAGCCAUUCUGGAUACAUCAAGGUGUUUGUCCCUUCAUUAGAGAAUCCUGACUCCAGUGUUUUUACGUGCAGUGUCUACUUACUUCAGUUUUUCUGUGUCUUCUCUAUCAGCACUCACUUCUCAUUGCAAUCAGGGGGCCUGCUUCUACACAGCCUCUCUCAUCCUUUCUACCUACCCCUCCAUUGCCUCUAAUUUACUUGAUUCUGAUCAG
rnacentral:lncRNA from 1 species